AUUGAACGCUGGCGGCAGGCCUAACACAUGCAAGUCGAGCGGAUCGGCGGACGCGGGAGUAAUGCCUAUGAAUCUGCCUGUUACUGGGGGAUAACGUCCGGUAACGGACGCUAAUACCGCAUACUAUCGGAUUAGCCUAGGUCGGAUUAGCUAGUUGGUGGGGUAAAGGCCUACCAAGGCGACGAUCCGUAACUGGUCUGGGUGGAUGAUCAUUCACACGGGAACUGAGACACGGUCCAGACUCCUACGGGAGGCAGCAGUGGGGAAUAUUGGACAAUGGGCGAAAGCCUGAUCCAGCCAUGCCGCGUGUGUGAAGAAGGUCUUCGGAUUGUAAAGCACUUUAAGUUGGGAGGCGUUACCAACAGAAUAAGCACCGGCUAACUUCGUGCCAGCAGCCGCGGUAAUUC
rnacentral:rRNA from 1 species